AGCAGCCGCGGUAAUUCCAGCUCCAAUAGCGUAUAUUAAAGUUGUUGCAGUUAAAAAGCUCGUAGUUGAAUUUCGGGGUUAGUAGGUCGGUCAUGCCGCUGGUAUGUACUGGUCUCACUGAUUCCUCCUUCCUGAUGAACCGUAAUGCCAUUAAUUUGGUGUUGCGGGGAGACUGGACUGUUACUUUGAAAAAAUUAGAGUGUUUAAAGCAGGCUAACGCUUGAAUACAUUAGCAUGGAAUAAUGAAAUAGGACGUUCGAUCCUAUUUUGUUGGUUUCUAGGAUUGACGUAAUGAUUAAUAGGGAUAGUUGGGGGCAUUAGUAUUCAAUUGUCAGAGGUGAAAUUCUUGGAUUUAUUGAAGACUAACUACUGCGAAAGCAUUUGCCAAGGGUGUUUUCAUUAAUCAAGAACGAAAGUUAGGGGAUCGAAGACGAUCAGAUACCGUCGUAGUCUUAACCAUAAACUAUGCCGACUAGGGAUCGGAUGAUGUUAAUUUUUAAUGACUCAUUCGGCGCCUUAA
rnacentral:rRNA from 1 species